rnacentral:rRNA from 1 species
GGGCCCGCACAAGCGGUGGAGCAUGUGGUUUAAUUCGAUGCAACGCGAAGAACCUUACCAUCCCUUGACAUCCAGUGAACUUUCUAGAGAUAGAUUGGUGCCUUCGGGAACACUGAGACAGGUGCUGCAUGGCUGUCGUCAGCUCGUGUUGUGAGAUGUUGGGUUAAGUCCCGCAACGAGCGCAACCCUUAUCCUUAGUUGCCAGCGAUUCGGUCGGGAACUCUGGGGAGACUGCCGGUGAUAAACCGGAGGAAGGUGGGGACGACGUCAAGUCAUCAUGGCCCUUACGGGAUGGGCUACACACGUGCUACAAUGGCGCGUACAAAGGGCAGCGAACCUGCGAGGGUAAGCGAAUCUCAUAAAGCGCGUCGUAGUCCGGAUUGGAGUCUGCAACUCGACUCCAUGAAGUCGGAAUCGCUAGUAAUCGUGGAUC